rnacentral:tRNA from 1 species
GGGAUAGAAGCUCAGUGGGAGAGCACAUGCUUAGCGUGCACGAGGUCCUGGGUUCAAUCCCCAGCACCUCCA